AGUCUUCUAGGAUGUUUGUUUGUCAAUUAUGUCCCUGAGCCGAUAAGUUUUACAUAAGGAAGUUAAACGUUAUCUAUUGUGCAAGCCUGGCUCGUAUCAGGAAGCCUACGGGUGAUGUGCUAUUUCCGCCUUGAGCACACGGUGUUCAAGGGCUGACAUUGACGGCGGCAUUCUGGAAGCACU
rfam:Thalassomonas actiniarum strain A5K-106 contig_92, whole genome shotgun sequence.